UAGAAGAACCCCUGAUGCCGUCGAGCCAAGAAAAGUUUCUAAGUUUAGCUAAUGUUGCCCGUACCGUAAACCGACACAGGUGGGUGGGAUGAGUAUUCUAAGGCGCGUGGAAGAACUCUCUUUAAGGAACUCUGCAAAAUAGCACCGUAUCUUCGGUAUAAGGUGUGGUUCGCUUCGUAUUAGGAUUUACUCCGAAAGCGAAGAAACUUACAACAAAGAGUCCCUCCCGACUGUUUACCAAAAACACAGCACUCUGCUAACUCGUAAGAGGAUGUAUAGGGUGUGACGCCUGCCCGGUGCUCGAAGGUUAAUUGAUGGGGUUAGCAUUAGCGAAGCUCUUGAUCGAAGCCCGAGUAAACGGCGGCCGUAACUAUAACGGUCCUAAGGUAGCGAAAUUCCUUGUCGGUUAAAUACCGACCUGCAUGAAUGGCGUAACGAGAUGGGAGCUGUCUCAAAGAGGGAUCCAGUGAAAUUGUAGUGGAGGUGAAAAUUCCUCCUACCCGCGGCAAGACGGAAAGACCCCGUGGACCUUUACUACAGCUUGACACUGCUAUUUGGAUAAGAAUGUGCAGGAUAGGUGGGAGGCUUUGAGUAUAUGACGCCAGUUGUAUAUGAGCCAUUGUUGAGAUACCACUCUUUCUUAUUUGGGUAGCUAACCAGCUUGAGUUAUCCUCAAGUGGGACAAUGUCUGGUGGGUAGUUUGACUGGGGCGGUCGCCUCCCAAAUAAUAACGGAGGCUUACAAAGGUUGGCUCAGAACGGUUGGAAAUCGUUCGUAGAGUAUAAAGGUAUAAGCCAGCUUAACUGCAAGACAUACAAGUCAAGCAGAGACGAAAGUCGGUCUUAGUGAUCCGGUGGUUCUGUGUGGAAGGGCCAUCGCUCAAAGGAUAAAAGGUACCCCGGGGAUAACAGGCUGAUCUCCCCCAAGAGCUCACAUCGACGGGGAGGUUUGGCACCUCGAUGUCGGCUCAUCGCAUCCUGGGGCUGGAGCAGGUCCCAAGGGUAUGGCUGUUCGCCAUUUAAAGCGGUACGCGAGCUGGGUUCAGAACGUCGUGAGACAGUUCGGUCCCUAUCUGCCGUGGGCGUAAGAAGAUUGAAGAGAUUUGACCCUAGUACGAGAGGACCGGGUUGAACAAACCACUGGUGUAGCUGUUGUUCUGCCAAGAGCAUCGCAGCGUAGCUAAGUUUGGAAAGGAUAAACGCUGAAAGCAUCUAAGCGUGAAGCCAACUCUAAGAUGAAUCUUCUCUAAGCUCUCUAGAAGACUACUAGUUUGAUAGGCUGGGUGUGUAAUGGAUGAAAGUCCUUUAGCUGACCAGUACUAAUAGAGCGUUUGGCUUAUCUUUAAUAAAGCAU
rnacentral:rRNA from 1 species